rnacentral:lncRNA from 1 species
CACUUAAAGUAGAGGUCGAGGAAGCAAGGGGAGAAGCAUCAAGGGAAGCGUAGUUACUUGGCUGAUAUCAAAGUUGUUGGUUGUCCACUUGAACUUAUAUAAAAGCUCCUUGCCUACUUGGUCCCGGGGUUGAUGAAACUUCACUGGUUAUCUUUCCACUCCCCUUAUAUACAAGUGAACUGUGUACUGUGCCACUUAUAUAUCUGCACCUGUUCUUUUCACUUCAACUACCAUGAUAGAUCUAGUGGGCCAUAAUACAUAGGCUAGCACAUUCCCUUACUGAGUGGAUGUUAACUACAGGUCUGCUCUAACUGCUUACUUACCUCGACUUGAAGUUCUGAACCACUGUUUGCUGAUUACUUUUGCACCUCUGAUUCUGAAAACAAUGAAAGUAAAGCCUUAGAAACAAGCACAAUUACCUCUCUAAACCGACCCGAACCCAACCUUUUAUUUCGCACUCUCACUUGACUUUCUUUUCCACUUGCAGCUGACGAAACAAGCAAAUCAUAUCCUUAUCUUUCACUGUGAACUACUUUCCCUUUAGCCGAGUUAACAAAUACUUCUCUUUUGAGAUCCGAGUCCACUAAUACUGACGUUGCUUAUUUGCUUCUUGUUCUUGUUCCGUAGCUUGUUUAAACUUCUUUUUGGAUUUAUGAUAUGUAAGAUAUUCACCCCCCAGAUUACUGCUGGCUCAAGGCACCUCGAAAGGAAGCUAACAUUAUUACCUCAAAAGUAAGCUAAGGCACCAAAGGCUUUGUUGAGUUAAGUGAGUGUAGAGUCAGAAGGGCAGUUGUGUUACUAUGUUCUAUAUGUAGUAUAAAGCUCUCUUCUUACUCCAUUUCUAUUCAUUUCCAUUCUAUUCCUUAGAAUAAGCCGUUGUGCACUGUCGGGGUACGCCUAUAAUAUGAGUUUUGGAAGCUUCCAGUCAGCAGUAAGCAAUAAGACGUUAGCAGACGCGCAUUAGGGGUUUUCUAUUGGAAUUGGGUAGCGCGCAGUAUAGUAUGUUACACAGGUCCUACUGAAGUAGCUUGUUCGCAAGCCAUUACGCGUUUACUUAUUGUGUUUGGGUGCGUUAGCGAGCGCAGCACAAGGUGAAUAAAAGUAAUGCCAAUUUCAAGAGUACGACCCGCCCAGUUUAGGAGAUCUGGGUUUUUGGAUUCUCUCUCCCUCCUCGAAUUCCUAUAGCUACCUAAGAGAUCCGAUACCUCUGCUGUACUUCUUUGACUUGGAAAGAGUGACGUGAAUAGAGUUGAGCUUUCUCUAUGUCGUAGGUCUCUAAAUCUACUGUUAUACUUACCUUUCGAACGGAUCGAUACCGAGUGGCACUGAAUUAGCGCUUUAUCUUGAUACUAGAAAAUGCAGUCUUCGAGGCGCCCUCACGGAUUGGGCUUAGAUAGCCUUAACCUAGUUGUUGCGGCCCUAUCCGCAAUACUUAGGUCUCUCGUCUCUCUCCUCUUCCCUUCGUUUUGGGUUUGGCAGGUCUCUCGAUGAUAGCCAUGUUUUCGACAGCAAGCUCCAAUUCUCCUUGAUCAAGACUCCGUCUAGGUUCUCACACCAGUCCUCUUAUCAAAGAAGAGCUACUCGACGUCAAGUCCUAAUUAAGACAACUUCAUAACCGAGGAGUGGAGAUGCAUUCCCUGAUCUGAUCCAUUUAACUACCCUUUCAUGAAAGCCCAGGAACGAUUCCAAUCAAUCGAAGAAUGUGUCCCGCAACGAAGAAGCGCUAGCAUACCUAUCGACUCUUCGCGUUACUUUCGGCGGGCUUUCACUAUUUCUUUCACUAUUUCCAAAAAGAGAUGAAUAGACGGAGCUUCAAAAGUACCUUCCUUCCACUCAAAGAGGAAACCCUGGUUUCCUCGGUUUUGCAUACCCUUCUAUUAGCCUGCCAUUCCUUUUCCAAACCUCUACCCUGCGCUGCACUCCAGUGGUUAGAUCGACGAAACUCCUUUUUGCCCUUAAGGGUUCUUGCCCUCUUUUCUCUUGAGAUCACCCUCUUAGAAUACGAAACCAAGCUCCGUUUUCAAGGUUCAAGAAAGAGCCUGGAUAAGGUCCCUACUUACUGGACUUCUUCGGAAUCCAAACUCCUGACAGUCGGUAGGGUACCGAAAGCUGGGAUAAAUAAAAUGAAUUUAAGCAGAUAGAAAUCAAAAGAAUUGGAUAUAGGGCCACCACAAAGGAGUGUUCCAAGGAAAAGAAAGCGAAAUAGUAAGAGUCAUGGGCAAGAGCGACUGUGUGUACAUGCAUUAGGAAUCAAACUCAAAGACCUAUGCUAGGGAAU